AGACUGAACGCUGGCGGCAUGCCUAACACAUGCAAGUCGAACGGCAGCGCGGGGAGCAAUCCCUGGCGGCGAGUGGCGGACGGGUGAGGAAUACAUCGGAAUCUACCCUGUCGUGGGGGAUAACCAAGCGAAAGCUUGGCUAAUACCGCAUACGACCGUGAGGUGAAAGCGGAGGACCUUCGGGCUUCGCGCGAUUGGAUGAGCCGAUGUCGGAUUAGCUAGUUGGCGGGGUAAGAGCCCACCAAGGCGACGAUCCGUAGCUGGUCUGAGAGGAUGAUCAGCCACACUGGGACUGAGACACGGCCCAGACUCCUACGGGAGCAGCAGUGGGGAAUAUUGGACAAGUGGGCGCAAGCCUGAUCCAGCAAUCGCCGCGUGUGUGAAAGAACGGUCCGUUCGGGUUAGUAAAGCUAACUUUUAGUACGGAGACGGAAAGCGACGAAGGUUAACUACCCAAUCGACGUCUAA
rnacentral:rRNA from 1 species